rnacentral:rRNA from 1 species
CGUAGGGUGCGAGCGUUAAUCGGAAUUACUGGGCGUAAAGCGUGCGCAGGCGGUUUAGUAAGACAGGCGUGAAAUCCCCGGGCUCAACCUGGGAACUGCGCUUGUGACUGCUAAGCUAGAGUACGGCAGAGGGGGUGGAAUUCCACGUGUAGCAGUGAAAUGCGUAGAGAUGUGGAGGAACACCAAUGGCGAAGGCAGCCCCCUGGGUCGAUACUGACGCUCAUGCACGAAAGCGUGGGUAGCAAACAGGAUUAGAUACCCUGGUAGUCCACGCCCUAAACGAUGUCAACUAGGUGUUGGGAGGGUAAAACCUUUUAGUACCGGAGCUAACGCGUGAAGUUGACCGCCUGGGGAUACGGCCGCAAGGUUA